GCUAGGUAAAAUAGUGCAGAAAUUCAUGGGCAGAUAUAAACUAUCAUUUGUCUACAUUGGUUUGAUUCCUCAAAAUCAAUGAAGAAAGACCUAUGACACCAUUUUUCUCUCAAGAAAAUACCAAGGGUUUUCUCACACAAUAGGGAGUAAGUAUUCAUUUAGGAAGUCAUAUAAUCAUUUUUUUCCCCACUGUACAAUGAGUUAUGAAUAAUAGAGAGUAAACAGUAUGCCUUCAUUUGUAAUAUGCCUUCAUUAUCCCUAAUAGUGCAUUUACUAAAAGCCUACCACAACUGUUUACCAUGUCAAGUUUUCAUCUCUUUACAAAAGGCUGAUGCUUAUCUGAGCUGGUUGAUCAGGACACAUCAAAUAUUUGAAUUGUCACUUGUGCUUCGUUCUUCCCGGAAAAAUAUGACCUUUAGCAUUUUUUUUUUCAAGAAUUUAUUUGAUAUGAAGUUGCAAAGCAACCAUUGCUUUAAGGUGGCACAGUGGUAAAAGAAUCUGUUUGCCAAUGCAGGAGAUGCAAGAGCCACAAGCUUGAUCCUUGGAUCAGGAAGAUCUCCUAGAGUAGGAAAUGGCAACCCACUCUAGUAUUCUUGCCUGAAAAAUGCCAUGGACAGAGGAACCUGAAGGGUUGUAGCCCAUGGGGUUGAAAAAAGUUGGACACAACUGAGCACUCCUAGAGCAGAACUAUAUCCUUAGAUAAUUUAUAAAAUUGAUGUUAAAUGUUGAGAAAGCCUAGAACAGUGCACACAGGAAACAAUGUAACAAAUGACAAAUCCUCUCCCUUCCCUCAUCCCUCCUUGUACCUGCUAGAGUCAUGGUCUAAGAUAACAGGACCAGUCUUCCAGAAAGAUAACAUUAAUUGUAAAGCCUUUGACUGGAUCACAGCAAACUGUGAAACAUUCUUAAAGAAAUGGGAAUACCAGACCAGUUUACCUGCCUCCUGAGAAACCUGUGUUUGAGUCAAGAAGCAAAACUUAGAACCAGACAUAGAACAAAGCACUGGUUCAAAACUGG
ensembl:lncRNA